CCCAGACUCCUACGGGAGGCAGCAGUGGGGGCUCUUGCACAAUGGCGGCCCCUCUGAUGCCGCGACGCCGCGUGCGGGCAGACGGUCUUCGGAUUGUAAACCUCUGUCUUUGGGGAAGCAAAUGACGGUCCCCAAAGAGGAAGCUCCGGCUAACUACGUGCCAGCAGCCGCGGUCCUACGUAGGGAGCGAGCGUUGUCCGGAAUUACUGGGUGUAAAGGGAGCGUAGGCGGGCGAGAAAGUUGAAUGUUAAAUCUACCGGCGGAACGGGGAGCGGCGGGCAAAACGGCGGGGCUGGAGGGAAGUAGAGGCAGGCGGAAGGCCUAGGGGAGCGGUGAAAGGCGGAGAUAUGAGGAGGAACACCAGGGGCGAAGGCGGCCUGCGGGGCGGUAACUGACGCUGAGGCGCGAAAGCGCGGGGAGCAAACAGGAGUAGAGACCCGCGUA
rnacentral:rRNA from 1 species